UGAGAACACGAGUAGGAGGCCCCUUGAGGAAGUGCAGCAUCAACAGGGCCUGCCUCCAGAUUCCAGGCCUGCAAGGGGACAAUACAGGGCUGUGUUUUCCCGUGGCUCCCAUGGGCUGUUCUGUUGUCCGUGCCCACCCCCAUCUGGGAUUCAGCAGCUGGAGCCAGGCUCUGGUGGACUACAAGUAAACAAGCGCAUCAGGGCGAUGAUUUCAGCUUGGCGCCCAGGCUGCAGAGGAAGGGACGGGCCAGCCCAGCAGCCGGCGGAGGGCUGGGCCUGGCUGGGCCUGGCUGGGCCUGGCUGGGCCGGCGGGCUGUCUGGAGGGAGGGGCGUGCAGGUAAGCAGGCCCCGGAUCAGGAGCUGGCCGUCCAGACAGGGCAGCGGCGAGCAGCGGGUCAUGCCUGGGCCCAGCCAGGGCAGGGCUGAGACAGCCGGGAGCCAGAACACCCUGGGCACGGGUGUGGACCAUGCGCUGUCUUCGGGCCUAGUUCUUUAGCAAUGAGCAGCCCGGGGGCGAGGCGGGCUUCCCCGCUGAAUCGCCUGGGACACGCUGGCCAAGACGUGUGGGCAGCCCACGAUGGGCGGUCUGUCGGGCCACCUCCCCGGCUCCCCCACGCCACACAGGCACUCCUGAGCUGUGCCAGCCAGAGGUGUCCCCUGGCCUCGGCCAAGGUCUCCCCGCAGAAUCGCCCUUGUGAAGGGGCGCGGGGGGGGGGUGGCGGUGGCCUGGCGGUGCUGGUGGUGCAGAGGCAGGGAGUGGGGGAGACGGGAACCCCGAGCCCCCUGUGGAACAGGCCCCGGGACGCCUCCGGGACGCCCUCGGGAGCGGCGGAAGCAUAGCCCUCCUGGGACCCAGGGGCCAGGCCAGACCACAUGACCUGGGCAGGGCACCCAGAAGUGACGUGGGGGUUUUCCUGGGAGCCCCCGGCCAGCUCCGGGCAGGCUGAGACGGUGGAAGGCGGCCUGUGGUGGGACCGGCCGCCGGCAGCGCACGUCACCUCCUCCGAGCCGUCACCAGGAUGGCAGGACAAACCUGACGCGCUCCGGAGAUGGCGUCGGCGUGUGCUGGGGGAGCAACGAGGGGUGCGAGGUGGCUGUGGGGGCCACGCUGCCAGGACCGGCACUGAGGGAGGCAAGGGGCGGCCAGGGACGGGGACAGAGCGGGGGACGCGCAGUGCCUCCUGGCCAGCAGCCUCGUGCGUUGUGGUGACCGACAGCGGGGUAACCUUGACUGACACGCCCACUCCGUCGUGCUCCGAGGCUUCCCAAAAAGGCUAGAAAAUGGACGCUUUCCUGGAACUCCCCACCCUGUGCGGGAACUGCCCAGGGCACCACCCCUCAGGAAUACUCCCUGUUCCUACUCUUGACAGAAAGGACAGCCCAGACCUCGGGCGUGCACUUCCGCCCAGGAUAAAUCUUAGCCCCAACACCUUCCUUCCCCUGUCAGAGAGAAGCGCCCCCGGACCGACCCCGGCCACCGCGCCGCCUCGCCCGGCCCAGCCGCGCCUCAGCCCGGCCCAGGGGCUCCGGCAGCUGCCGGCUGAGGGCGCCCUUGCCCCAGGGCUGCGGGGCCCGCCGGGCACUGCACACGGGCUGGAAGUCAGCCUGCAAGGAUUGUGUGAACACAGCAUGAGUGAGCAGGCCGUCCCAGCGUGGCUGGGAAGCAGCCUCUGGGCCAGUUCCCGUGCCUCUGGGGCCCCGCCGGGGCAGAGAUUCCUGCUGGCUUGUGACAGAGCAGCUUUCUCAGGGCUGGGAAACCAACCCUGACCAGAAAGACCCUCUCUAACAAGCUGGAAAGCGCCUGGAGAGAAACUGGCGCAAAGAGCUGGCCCCAGCAGUCCCAGGAUUUCAAAAACUCAGAGCAAAUGCCUAAACUGGCCCAACAGAGCAGCACCGCAGGCCGUGGCGGCAUGGCUGGAAGGUUCUAGAAGACCUGCAUCAGAGCACAGACGCUGCUUGGAUCAUUAAUGUGUGUCCAUCAUAAGCUGCACUCAGUAGUGAUCCUGUGGCUUGAGACCUCCAGAGCCCAUCGAGGGCCCGCCUGGCUCCCAGGAACUUCACCUAGCCAAGCUGCUAAUGGUUAAGAUAGCGAAAGUGAGAGUGCAGGAAGUGAGCAAAGUCUGCGUGACUGGUCAGCGGCCCCCACAAUGCAGCUCGCUGCAGGCUUCCUGUGAGUCACAAACGUCACCAGCCACAAGUGACCGUGGUGCUGCCAUGUUCUGAACGUCCUUGUCCCCUGAAGUCAGGAGCGGAAAUCCUAACCCCUCGUUGGAGGGAAUCCGCAGGGGCACCUUAGAGAGGUCUUGAAGGUGGAGCCUCAGGAGGGGCCAAGACGCCCAGGCCUGCCUCUGCUCUCCCCUCCCACCGUACAGGCUGAGAGGGAACUGCCCGAGAACCAGGAGUUGGUCCUCCCCUGCCAGAGAGCCUGCCAGGGAGCCUGCCACGGAGCCUGCCACGGAGCCAGCCACGGAGCCUGCCACGGAGCCUGCCACGGAGCCAGCCACGCCUUGAGGUGGGACUCCCAGCCUCCAGGUCUGUGAGCAGUGCCUUCCUGUGCUCCCAAGCUGCCAAUCUCAGGUGCCGUGUGAGAGUGGCCGGGCAGAGUCAGCGCGGAUGGUGGUGAUGGGCGCUUGUCCUUUGUUUUCAUUUCCUGGAUUCCAGUCACAGCGGCUGUGAGGUGACACGUUUUCUCCCGUGACGAGUUGCUCUUCCAUUCUCUUGGCAGUGUCCUUCAAGCACAAAGUUUCACGUUUUGACGCAGUCCACUUCAUGUAGUUUUUUUCUUUUGUCGCUGUGCUUUUGGUGUUAAAUCAAGAAACCAUUGCCUACUCCCAGGACACAAAGAUGUGUUCCUGUACUUUCUUUUGAGAGUUUUGGAGUAAUUUUAGCUGUGUGUAGGCCUUCGGCCCUUUGGACUCAUUCUACGCGGUGUGAAGUAUGCGCCUGUGGCUACCGCGUGCCAGAAACAUUUGGUGAGAAGUUUCCUUUCCUCUGGGUUUUCUUGGCACCAGUGUGGAAACUCAGUGGAGCGUGACUGUUGGGCGGGUUUCCAAGCCCCCCGCUGAGCUGCGUCUGCCCUGGCCUCGGCACCGCCCUGCCUUGAUUACUCCGGUGGGAGAAUCAGGCACCACUAGGUGGUUCCACGAGGAUAACGCCCAUGCAACAACGGAAAGAAGCGCACGCAGCAAACAGAACUGGGGACCAGUGAGUGGUGUGGCGGGGAAGCUGCCACCUGGGAGGCAGCCUCCCACGUCCUAGUUGCUCCACUUCUGAUCCAGCUCCCUGUUAAGACCUGGGAAAGCAGUGGAAGAUGGCCCAAGUGUUUGCGCCCCUGCUGCCCAUGUGGGAGACCUGGAAGAAGCUCCUGGCUUCAGCCUGGCCCAGCCCUGGCCACUGUGGCCAUUUGAGCAGUGAACCAGCAGUAGCAAGAUUUCUGUCUGUCUCUCCUUCUCUCUGUGUAAGUCUGACUUUCAAAUAAAUAAAUAUUUAAAAAAGAAGAAGAAAAGAGAGGGGCCGAUGCUGUGGCGUCGGGGGUGAAGCCGCCACCUGCAGGGACAAAGCUUCCCUCCUGGACCGGCCUCUGCGGCCAAGGCGGCCCUGCAUCCUCCUCAGCGGGGCCACCUCGGCUCCUCCAGGCUCAGGGUGCAUCACCUGUGUUCACCAAGGGCCCGUGGAAGCCCAGCACUACCCGCCCCGCCCCCAUACCUGGUCAGAGCCCUCAUCCUCCUGCCCGGGAGGGGUGGGCAGCCCGGCCUGCCUGCUGUUGCACCUGUGGGUCAGUGUACCGGAAUCCCUCUCCGCCGACCUGGUGGGCAGACCCCGCCCUGCCCCUGCCGGCCUCCCGCAACCGCGUUGCAGGUGUCCCCUCUCCCCUUCCGGCGUUGGUUGCUGGCGUUGUGAGUCACCUGUACUAGUGAACAGUAAUUUUGCACAGGAAUUUCAGGAGCCCGCUGGGAGGGGGUGACUUGGAAAGACCCCACGGCCAGCUGAGGAGAGGGGGCUACAGCCGUCAACGGCAGACAGCUGAGCGCCGCCCUCCAGCUGCCCCCUCCCGGGCCGUCAUCAGAACACAUCUGAACACCUGCUUCGCUCCUCGUGCCUCCUGCCUCCACCCGCAGCUGCCGUAGACCUUGAAAACCCCUUUCCGCCCUGCCGGGUGGGGGAGUGCAUUCCGGCUCCAGACGCGCCUCUUUCCCCAAGACCGCCGCUGCCGGAAGGUCUGGAGAACUGGCUGUCUGGGCAGGGGCAGGGGCAGGGGCCAGGGCCUGGGCCUGGCGAUUUGUCCAGCGUGCACCCUGGGCGUCGGCGGUGUAGUCUGCAGGUGGCCCAAGCCUCCCACGUCAGCAGGGAAGGGCAGCGGCCACGUGUACCCCAGAGCUGCCCGUGGCGAGCUGACCCUGCGGCUGGGACUCCGCAGCUGCCGAGGGCCUUCCCUGGGGUCUCCCUGCUGUGGCAUCAGCUUCCCACCAACGCUUGUUAGGGCGAGGAAGCAGUAUUCGGAGAGGAGCUGCUGGGCUCCAGGACUGGAAUCCUAUUGCUUGUCAACUUCUGCAGAAGCACAAUUCCUAGCGAGCUAAUGCUGGCCUGACGCUGAGGGGACUCACCUGCAGAAGUGCGUUUCUAACAACAGACACCAGGCACGUGUAGCCUCAGGGCCCUUCUGUGUACCUCUUCUGUUGCUUAACUGUGGCCAAAGGAUUCAGACACUGACCCUGGUAGUCAGUCUCCACCCCUCCAACGUGGAACCAGAUAAGACCACAUGACCAGGACCACGUUCAUCCUGCAACAAGAACCAAACAGAGCCUUGCUACCCUGUGACAGAUAGAAGACGGCAAGGGGAGGGGAUGCGAGUUGAGAUGGAAUCCCUGGAGUAUCCCUAAACUAAAAGAUAAAGCUGAGAGGUUAGAAAGCAGGGUUCCUGUGUAUACUUACCGCCUGGUAACCGUCAGAGUAGACUGCCAGGGCCGCAGCCUCAAAGAUGUGCUUGGCGUUCUCACGUCUUAUGCUGGAAUCUGUACAUAGCGCCCACACUGGGGUGGUCAGGCUUGAGAGCUCUUGACUUGCAAGGAUUAGGACUGAGCAUGGACUCAGAUCUUUCUUAAAAUGAAGCAGCACACUCAGUGACUCACAUCUCAAAGAUCUGCAUAUUGUCACCCAAGGCUGGCUGGGUUUGAGAAUGAGUCACGUGAGGCACUGCACGAGGCAGAACUGUGCACCCGUGCCUCCACUUCCGGAACAGGGAGGUUACUGGCUCGUUUAUGGCUGCUUGGGAAACACUUAGCCAUAUCAGCUGAUAAUGUAAACAUCACUGUAACAAUUGCAUUGUCUUUAAAUGGAGCCAACUGGCCUCCAGAUCCUUCUGAGGCGCCUUUGCAAGGUGCAUUGAACAGGGCAUUCUGGCAAGCUGAACCUGCCUGGGGUCCCCUUGGAAGCUCCAGCUCUGGCACUCUUCACAGGUGGAAGCAGUGAGAGGAUUGGGGAAGUUAGAGGUGCGAACAUGCAGUGGUAACCUUUCAGGAAACGUGGGAAACAGCAUUGCCCCAAGUACCUCUCUCCAGACGGAAGUCCUAGCCUCACCCAUGCCUCAUGCCUUGGGAGAGGGAAGAGUGAGCACUCACAGUGACCCUAAGUAUCCUUUGUCUGCAUGGCAUGCCUCUUGGGUUAUGUAGACAAACUUUGCAAACAUCUAGGCUGCUGCAACUGUCUUUGACCUUUGAAGGGGAAACCAAGGAAGAUGCACUUCACCUUGUAAAAAUCUUCCAUCCAAAAAUCCCUCGCUCCGCCCCCAAGCAGCAGGAGGUGUCUAGGAUGGAGCCGACGCCCCUGUUCCGUAGCUGUGGAAGGGAAAAUUGGCAGUGGAGACUGUAGCCGUGAUGAGGCGGCUUCCUGCCCUUCUCACGAGUGGCUGACAGGCGCUGGUUGCUGGAGUUACCUGUGACUCGCAAGUCUUCUUUGUACGGGAAUUUUGGGAUCCUGUUGAAAGCAGGUGACCUGGGAAGGUGGACCUCGCACCCAGCUGAGAAAACAUGCAACCAUCCACUGCACACGACUGAGUCACCAAGCCUGCACCUGGACCAUCGCAGCAAAGCCCGCAAGUCGUCUUAAUAACUGAAUGACUCAUUGCUUUUUAUAACUCCCACCUGCAGCUACUUAAACCCCUUUGCUGGCUUGUUGGGAGGGAAAAGCUCAUUCUGGAUCCGGAAAGCACUCUGCCCAGUACUGCCAGCUUCUUGGAAUAAACCCCCUGCUCUUACCAGCCCGUGUCUCGGGACAAGCGGCUGCCCAGCACGGGCAGCAAGGGCCUGAUUCUCCGUCACAAUUCCCCACAGGCCUUGCACUUGAAGUUGAGCCCAAGCUUUCUCCCACGGGUGUGUCCCUGAACCUGCCGUGGUGGCCCCUUGGAAUAAGUCUGUCUUGGUCAGCUCGGCAGAGUGUUGUUCGGCGUGUGUGUGUUGUAUGUUGUGUGCUAACAGCAUCUUCUGGCUCUGGAACAAGGCCCAGGUUGGGCAGUGCGGGCAGAAGGUCGGGAGGGUGGUCUGAAUGUGAACCCUGCCUGGGUGCUGGGCGUGGAGAGGUGGGGGGAUGGUGCAGGGCCACAGGACAAGCACCUGAACUCCUAGAGGCUGUCGGGCUGCAGCCCCUCACGGUGCGGGGGAGGCCCUGUCUCGUUUGCUGAGGGUCCAGUCUUGGGCCGUGUCUUGAGGGUGGCACAUGGAGAAAGACUCCAUUCACCUUGCGGUUUCUGGUUAAGAAACAGCCUUGUCCACAUGGGUCACACACAGCCCUCCUUUACAAUGGGUCCGCCGUGCUGGGUGAUGCAGUGGCCUCUGGCUCUGUCCUGCAUGGGGUGCCCAUGUGGGAGACGCAUCCGCACGCCCUCGGGGCUUGGGGAUUGCUGGGAGUUGAACAAAACUUCGUGGAAGGCCACUUUGGAGAGUUCAGGGUGAAGGUGACCAUGGCUAUUGGGGUACCUGGGUGGUAAAAGCCAGAUGAAGGGACCCGGAAAAGCCCCAGAGGAGGGGUCUGAGCUGUGACAGGUGCACCAGCUCAGAGGAGCAAGAGUGCCCCAGCAGCUGUCCCUGAGCAUCAGAGCAGUGACAGCUGUCGCUGGGGAUGGGGUCUUCCUGGCGCACCUGGAGAGAGAAGGCCGUCUAUGUUCUGACUUUAGCCAGAGACAGACCACAGGACGCCACGGUCCCAGCUCCUGGCUGCAUCCUGUGCCACACUGGGCAAGCUGUGUCUCCGUGCCCCUCCCACCCACGGGCCCAGUGGGCUGGGCUUCCUGAGGAUUCGGCUGAGGAAGGGAAAUGGCGGACUGAUGGCUCCCGGCUCCUGCUGAGCCAGGGAACCCAGACCCCUGACCCUGAGGUCACCGUUGGUGGCACUUCCCAGCUGAAGUCCCCUCUCACUAAUGGCUCUUGUCUGAGGCAGCCAGACCGCCGGCAGGGUGCCAUUGCAUAGUGUGGCAGGCUGUGUAGAGGGCCACAGCUGUCGAUGACCUCUCACUCGGGGACUGAGUCCUCCCCACCCUGUGAGGGAGGCAGGGCAGCCUGGGACAGGGCUGGCGCCUGCUCUCCUCUAGCUGGGGUGCAGAGAGCCGCGGGGCUGGGGGCGCCUGCUCAUCCCUGUGAACCGGUAUUGCCACAGCCGUGUGAUGGCACGAGGUGCUGGAAGCAGGACAGGAAGGGCCCUCGAGGGCAGACACCAGGGCCUUGUCUCCCUGCUGUGCGUGGGCACUUGGGGCCCUAGGCGCCGGCCCUGAGCUCAUGGGCCAGAGAGCACCGGGACUGACAGGGACCCAGCCCCGAGCAGCGGGGGACUCACUGCUGCACACGUUCCAGACACUGACGAGGAUUCAGUCUUGUCAAUGGGAAACAUUAAAGUUUUAGAAACUG